rnacentral:rRNA from 1 species
GAUGAACGCUGGCAGCGUGCCUAAUACAUGCAAGUCGAGCGAAUGGAUUAAGAGCUUGCUCUUAUGAAGUUAGCGGCGGACGGGUGAGUAACACGUGGGUAACCUGCCCAUAAGACUGGGAUAACUCCGGGAAACCGGGGCCAAUACCGGAUAACAUUUUGAACCACAUGGUUCGAAAUUGAAAGGCGGCUUCGGCUGUGACUUAUGGAUGGACGCGCGUCGCAUUAGCUAGUUGGUGAGGUAACGGCUCACCAAGGCAACGAUGCGUAGCCGACCUGAGAGGGUGAUCGGCCACACUGGGACUGAGACACGACCCAGACUCCUACGGGAGGCAGCGGUAGGGAAUCUUCCGCAAUGGACGAAAGUCUGACGGAGCAACGCCGCGUGAGUGAUGAAGGCUUUCGGGUCGUAAAACUCUGUUGUUAGGGAAGAACAAGUGCUAGUUGAAUAAGCUGGCACCUUGACGGUACCUAACCAGAAAGCCACGGCUAACUACGUGCCAGCAGCCGCAGUAA